AUUGAACGCUGGCGGAAUGCUUUACACAUGCAAGUCGAACGGUAGAGGGGGCAACCCCUCGAGAGUGGCGAACGGGUGAGUAAUAUAUCGGAACGUGCCCAGUCGUGGGGGAUAACGUAGCGAAAGUUACGCUAAUACCGCAUACGAUCUAAGGAUGAAAGCGGGGGAUCGCAAGACCUCGCGCGAUUGGAGCGGCCGAUAUCAGAUUAGGUAGUUGGGGGGGUAAAGGCUCACCAAGCCAACGAUCUGUAGCUGGUCUGAGAGGACGACCAGCCACACUGGAACUGAGACACGGUCCAGACUCCUACGGGAGGCAGCAGUGGGGAAUUUUGGACAAUGGACGCAAGUCUGAUCCAGCCAUUCCGCGUGCAGGAUGAAGGCCCUCGGGUUGUAACUGCUUUUGUACGGAACGAAAAGGUCUCUCUUAAUACGGGGGACUCAUGACGGUACCGUAAGAAUAAGCACCGGCUAACUACGUGCCAGCCGCCGCCGUAAAAC
rnacentral:rRNA from 1 species